AGCUGGGGUUACAGGUGAGUGUCACCAUACCCCACGGUAACUUGUGUCUGAAUGAAGUUCAUCUGCUUUACAGGUGCUGUGGUCACACCCUGGGCCUCCUCCUGCUGAGUGUGUGCUGCGCAUCUGUCCCCAGAACCCGUGGGAUUUGCCUGGCACGAUUUUCUCCGCAGGCUCAUGCAGCCUUCGUGUUGGCACUAGGUGCCCUUCUGCGUUGUGUGUGGGCGUUUCAGCAGCAAAAUUACCAGGCAGAAGCACCCAGAGGCGGGAGCAGGGCCCUGCACAGACAGGGAAGAUGUUCCGGGACGUUGCAAGCGCUGGCUGUGAAUGUCACGACAGACACGCUGUUGCAUGUGCUCUUGUUUGUGGCGGAGAGGAUAAUUGUGGAGUUCUCCUCCAGCAAGGUUCCCUGGGCAGGAGACAGCUCUAGGAUUGGCAUCUAGCUUUUCGCUAAAGUCUGCAGUAUGGCACAUUUCCACGAAGGUCACUCAACAUAAGCUCCCAAACAUCUUCCUGGGACGUCACUCUGCAGUGGCCAAGCCAUACACACCCAGCCCCGUCGCCCUGGGGACCGUGACCACGCAGCGGCGAACCAGUGCUCCCGCUGUUCACAGGGGAGACAGGCUCGUGCCCCGAUCUAUGGAGUCUCGUUGCCCAACUCCUUUAUUCACUUGCUCACAACUUUCUGCCAAAUUCUUUGAGGCUGAAACCUUUCUUGCCUGGUACUGGGCCAUGCCUGCCCAAAGGUAAAUUUUUCUGGAGCGUUCCUGCCAGAGCUCUCAGGCCUUUGAGUCAAGGAAAAAAGGAAUUUUUCAUUUAAAGAGGUUGGCUGUGUUCGACCACACCCAAAGCUUAGUCUGGUUACUGAGAGAUCUUUCUGUCUCUGUCUCUGUCUUUGUCUCACGCACACACACACAUACACACACAAACAUUUGAACCCACUCUCACAGCCAGUAUACACUCUCAUAAGCAGAUACACACACACCUGAUCCACAACAUACAUACACACUCACUUUUAUGCAAUAGAUACACUAACACUUAAACACAUUCUGUAUACCAGUCCAUUCCUGUAUAUACCAGCACUUAAAUGCUGCACACUGACACAUUCCCAUAAUCGAUAUACACUCACACAAUUUACACACACCCACAAGCUGCACACAUUAGACCUACACACUUAUGCACUCAGAUACAUGCAAACACACCGGUGCCGGCACACCCAGCAGACACUCACCCCACACUCUCACACACACGCUCUUGUAACUCAGUGUGUACACACAGGGCCCAGACUCAGGCGUGGAGACAUACGCAGGACCUCCACGCUCAGGCUGGGCCGGGGAGACCAAGUGAGUCCACUUUCUCCAUGGGGAUAAAGAUGCUGUCUGUGUGGUCUGUGUGCCAGGAGCGGCGGCCAGAGGAGCAGGUGGCCUCUGGGACCGGACUGCGGGAUUUCUCGGCACGUGCAAACACACCAUGGGGCUGGGACUUGCGGAUGAGGGGUGUGAAGCAGCACGGGAGAGGGGCCGGGCACUGACGGCACACUGAGAGCGGCUGCAGGGGGGAAGCCUGGCCUGGCUGUGUCCCUUGCAGCAUCCAUUUCUUGGGGCGACAUGCGCAUUGUCCACUGUGAGGACGCGAGGCCAGCUCAUCCCGCUCCCCUCACCAAGGCCUUGCUUCUUUCUAAUACUGUAGGAAGUGGCCACCCAGAGCUGGUGGAGGGCAAAGGUGUGUGGCACUCCAGCCAGCACCCCCAACCUGCCCAAGCACCCAGGGAGCUGCUAUCAGAGCUGCCCUCAGCAGCAGCCUUUCCCCAGCACCCAGAAAAAAUGGUGCUGGCCUGGUGAUCGGCUGCCUCCUGGGGGCCAGGGAGCCCCUACAAAAGCCAUGGUGCAGCCGGGCUGCUUUUCCUUCCCACUCCUCCUAUUUCCCUUUCCUUCUUUAGCAGCUCUUUCUUUAGCCUGACGCAGUCUCCAGAAGGCCCCUAAUAAACAGUUGGACACAAACAUCA